rnacentral:tRNA from 2 species
GACCUCGUGGCGCAACGGUAGCGCGUCUGACUCCAGAUCAGAAGGUUGUGUGUUCAAAUCACGCCGGGGUCA